rnacentral:rRNA from 1 species
UACGGGUGGCAGCAGUGGGGAAUAUUGCGCAAUGGGGGAAACCCUGACGCAGCGACGCCGCGUGUAGGAAGAAGGCCUUCGGGUCGUAAACUACUGUCAGGAGGGAAGAAACUGUUUAGGUCGAAUAGGCCUAUUCACUGACGGUACCUCCAGAGGAAGCACCGGCUAACUCCGUGCCAGCAGCCGCGGUAAUACGGAGGGUGCGAGCGUUAAUCGGAAUCACUGGGCGUAAAGCGUGCGUAGGCGGCGCAGCAAGUCAGACGUGAAAGCCCUCGGCUCAACCGAGGAAUUGCGUUUGAAACUGCUGGGCUUGAGUCUCGGAGAGGUUGGCGGAAUUCCAGGUGUAGGAGUGAAAUCCGUAGAUAUCUGGAGGAACACCGGUGGCGAAGGCGGCCAACUGGACGAGUACUGACGCUGAGGUACGAAAGCGUGGGGAGCAAACAGGAUUAGAUACCCUAGUAGUC